rnacentral:rRNA from 1 species
UACGGGGGGGGCAAGCGUUGUUCGGAAUUACUGGGCGUAAAGGGCGCGUAGGCGGCCUACUAAGUCGGACGUGAAAUCCCUCGGCUCAACCGAGGAACUGCGUCCGAUACUGGCAGGCUGGAAUCCGGGAGAGGGAUGUGGAAUUCCAGGUGUAGCGGUGAAAUGCGUAGAUAUCUGGAGGAACACCGGUGGCGAAGGCGGCAUCCUGGACCGGUAUUGACGCUGAGACGCGAAAGCGUGGGGAGCGAACAGG